UACGAAGGGUGCAAGCGUUACUCGGAAUUACUGGGCGUAAAGCGUGCGUAGGUGGUUUGUUAAGUCUGAUGUGAAAGCCCUGGGCUCAACCUGGGAAUUGCAUUGGAUACUGGCAGGCUAGAGUGCGGUAGAGGGUAGUGGAAUUCCCGGUGUAGCAGUGAAAUGCGUAGAGAUCGGGAGGAACAUCUGUGGCGAAGGCGACUACCUGGACCAGCACUGACACUGAGGUACGAAAGCGUGGGGAGCAAACAGG
rnacentral:rRNA from 1 species